rnacentral:lncRNA from 1 species
CGGCUGCGGCAAGAAGUUCAGCCUCAAGCACCAGCUGGAGACCCACUACCGGGUCCACACAGGCGAGAAGCCCUUCGAGUGCAAGCUGUGCCACCAGCGCUCCCGGGACUACUCGGCCAUGAUCAAACACCUCCGCACCCACAACGGCGCUUCCCCCUACCAGUGCACCAUCUGCCUGGAGUACUGCCCCAGCCUCUCGGCCAUGCAGAAGCACAUGAAGGGCCACAAGCCGGAGGAGAUCCCCACCGACUGGCGGAUAGAGAAGACCUAUCUCUACCUCUGCUACGUCUGAGGGCGGCGGCGCAGGGCGGCGGGGCUGAGGACCGGGCCAAAAAAAAAAAAGCCGCCACCAAACCCGCAGCGUCCACCGCCUUGUUUGUUUGUCGGGUCUCCUGGCUCCUCUCGCCACAGGGAGCCUGCGGGGGGGACGCCCCGGCCCCUUCCCCAGCCCCAUCCGCUCCCCCACCCUGGCUGCCCACCCGGCUUUCACCCCUCGCAGCCCCCCGGGAACUGGCUCCCCAGCCCCUCCAUCGCCGCCGGGAAGACGGCGCGGGAAGGACGUGCUUUGGGAAGGAUUUAAUUUGUGGUUUCCUCCAUCCCCGUGGACGCCCCGCCGAGGACCCCAGCUCAACCUGUGGGGCUUGGCCCCCCUUUCGGGAGGGUUCCCGCACUGCGGCGUCACAGGGAGAGAGCGUCCCCGGGGGCAUGAGGAGGGUGUUUGGGGCAGGGACCCGGGUGCCAGCCGGGGUCCGGGGGGGGGCACCCGGAGGCUGCCGCCCUCCCCCUGACCAAAGACCUCUCUAUGCAUUGCCCCUUCCUUCCCUGCCGUCCCAGGGGGCGAGGGCGAAGCCCCCCAUGGGGGAUGCGGCCGGUUUGGUGGUGCGUAGGGGAUGCAGUGCCGCCAGUGCGCAGCAUUGCUCCCAAUUUGGGGGAUCCUCCGUGUUCUGCUGAUUUAGGGCGCCCGGAGGGUGCCGAGGGUGGUGUUUUGCCCAGCCCCCACUGCAGGAGCCCGCGAGCCGGGGGUCCCGGGGGCAGGCGGCUUCGCUCGCCGCUUUGGUUUUGUUUUGCUUUUCGUUCGGUUUUUUUGAACUUUUCUUUUGGAAUAUUUCCGCGUUUAGCACAUUUUACUUGAAAUUACCUCGUUUUUUUGUGACCUCAUGAGCUUUUAUUGAUUUGGGGGGGACGGGGGGGCGAUGUGGCCGGGCAGGCGCAUGCCUGGCGCUGGCGGUGGAGGGGCGGCAUCGUCCCUGCUGCCCCCCCCUCGUUGUGCAUUAUCCUUACCAAAACUGGUGUUUUUUGCCCGGCCCCGUGGGGCCGGGGGGGCCGGUUCUGAAGCUACCUCUUGUGUUCGUUUUUGUUGUGUUUCUCCUUUGCGGCCGCGGCAGCGAGCUCUGCGCUUUCCAUCCCGCCCGGCGCUCGCGGCCUGGGGUGGUUUUUUUGGUAAUUUUGCUGCGUUUGGGUGAAAAGGCGGGGGGAAGAGUCUGGGGGGGAGUGGGACGGUGUUGGGGUGCGGUUUGGAGGAUGCUGGGGGGUGCCAGUCCCCCCUCUCCCGAGCAGGGAUGCGGGUGCAGCAUCCUCCCUCCCUCGUGCCCUGCUCCGGCUUUGCACGCGCAUGUGCCCCUGCCCGUGGGGCCGAGGCCGCUGUUGUACAAUCCGGGAUGUGACUGUGGAGAACGGCUUUGUUUAAUUGUUGUGCCUAAGGAAAAAAAAAAAAAACACAAAAAAAAGAGAGAUAAAAAAGGAAAAAAAAACUAUUA